CGUUUACACACAGUCGUGUCGUUGGUCGUUGGUGUAGUUCAAGUAGUGAUGGGUGUUGUUCUAGUUGAAAUUUGUGCUAAGAGUUUCUACGAGAUGUGUUGUUAAAGUGCAGUUAAAUGUGUAAAUAAUUAUGAAGUGUUGUGGUCUCAUUACGUAGGAAGACAUGUUUCGUUGUAUUCCUAUUUUCAAGGGAUGUAAUCGGCAAGUCGAAUAUGUUGACAAGCGUCACUGUUCACUACCGUCUGUCCCCGAAGACAUUUUGCGUUAUUCAAGAAGCCUUGAGGAACUUCUGUUGGAUGCCAACCAUAUCAAAGAUCUUCCAAAGAACUUCUUUCGGUUGCACAGACUACGUAGGCUAGGCCUUAGUGACAAUGAAAUUCACAGGUUGCCACCUGAAAUUCAAAACUUCGAAAACUUGGUUGAGUUGGACGUUUCCAGAAAUGAUAUACCAGACAUUCCAGAAAACAUCAAGAAUCUGCGAGCUCUUCAAGUCGCAGAUUUCAGUAGCAACCCCAUUCCAAUGUUACCACCAGGUUUCGUCCAGCUCAAGAACUUGACGGUUCUGGGGCUCAAUGAUAUGUCCCUGACCAAUCUUCCACCAGAUUUCGGAUGUUUGAUCAGCUUACAAUCAUUAGAGCUCCGAGAAAAUCUGCUCAAAUCAUUACCUGAGUCUCUAUCCCAGUUGAGUAAAUUAGAACGACUCGACCUAGGAGACAACGAAAUUGAAGUUCUGCCGGAACACAUAGGAAGGCUGCCUGCUCUCCAAGAGUUAUGGUUAGAUCACAACCAAUUACAGCAUUUACCGCCGGAAAUUGGUUACCUAGAGAAUUUGAAUUGCUUGGACGUCUCCGAAAAUAGGUUAGAGGACUUACCAGAAGAAAUAGGUGGAUUGUGCAAUCUGACGGACCUGCAUUUAUCGCAAAACGUAGUGGAAACUCUGCCCGAUGGUCUCGGCCAACUGCAUAGGCUCACCAUCCUCAAAGUCGACCAAAAUAGGCUAGCAAUAUUGAACGCAAAUAUUGGACAAUGUGCAUCCCUCCAAGAACUCAUUCUGACGGAGAAUUUCUUAGUAGAGCUGCCAUCUAGCAUAGGAAAUCUCACUCAGUUGACUAAUCUAAAUGUUGACCGAAAUAGCCUUCAUAGUCUUCCUCUAGAAAUCGGAAGGUUAUCACAGUUGGGUGUAUUAUCAUUAAGAGAUAAUAAACUACAAUACCUUCCAUCUGAAGUUGGAAAUUGUUCAGAACUGCAUGUGCUUGAUGUAUCUGGUAAUAGGUUACAAUACUUGCCGAUGUCGCUGGCCAACCUGAGCCUGAAGGCGGUGUGGCUGUCCGAGAACCAGGCGCAGCCGAUGCUCAAGUUCCAGACCGACACGGAUGAGGCGACCGGCGACCAGGUGCUCACCUGCUUCCUGCUGCCCCAGCUCGAGUACCAGACCGACAUCAAUGCGUCAGUCCACCACCACCAGCCCUAUGACUUUGCUGUCUCUCCCCCAGAUGGCGGCCGGCGCAGGGGGCGGGGCGACGACAGUGACGAUGAGGAAGAGGAGGAGGAUGACAAUUGGGAGGAGAAGGAGGCCUCCCGCCAGCACUCUGUCAAAUUCACCGACGAUGUCCAACAACAGGAAACUGGCAAAGAGACUCCAUUCGUCCGUCAGAAUACACCUCAUCCUAAGGAUUUGAAAGCGAAGGCUCAUAAAUUAUUUAGUAAAUCGAAAAGUAAUGACAGUAGAGAACUGUCAGUUGAGGAGGAGGAUAGCCGGACGCAGAAUGACAGGCUUUAUUCAAGUGAAGUGGAGCAGAAUAGUGAUAGAAGCUCUCUAACCGAAACUGUGUCCAGAGAUGGCGAUCUUAUCAAGGAAUUGACUUCAAAAUUGUUGAUACGAGAGGGAAAGGCAACUGCAAACGCGGCAGCCAGUGAGACGGCAAGCGACACGGGGCAUAGUGAAAUGGAAGACGACGUUGUAAGCAACCAGGGCUUGUCGGGCUUGCAGGAGAGGCAUGUGGAGUUCGAGUCGCCGACGCGGCAGUCGGGGGCGGGAGCUGGGGCGGGGGUGGCUUAUGCAGAGGCGGCGGAUGCGGAGGGGGCGGAUCGGCCCAACCGACUGCACCGUCGCGACACCCCCCACCACCUCAAGAACAAACGCAUCAACCAGCAUCACAAUCUCGACAAAGAGAAAGUGGCUGCCAUUAUUGCAAACGCGAUAAGCAAGAAGAGGGGCGAAGACGACGCUGUAGACAGUGACAGAGGAACGUUCUAUCCCACUCCGCCUGACUCGGUGUCCGACCGCACUCAUGAUCUGGGAGUGAGCCAAAGCGACAUCAGAGAAGAGACAUUCGACAUUCACAUAAAGAAAACAUCAUCUGGACUUGGACUGUCAAUAGCCGGUGGCCUGGGGUCGACGCCUUUCAAGGGCGAGGAUGAGGGAAUUUUCAUAUCGAAAAUAUCCGAAGGAGGACCGGCUGAUUGUGCAGACCUCAGGGUGGGUGAUAAAGUGAUAUCGGUGAAUGAUCGUUCUCUGGUCGGCAUCAACCAUUACGACGCCGUUGAAAUCCUUCUUACGGCUGGUUCAGAUCUGGUUCUCCGGAUAGUAAGGGAAUUCGGUCCUAUUCCGAAUAAGCAAAACUCGCCGACAGCGCGAACUGCUGAUUCAGCAUGUUCGAGCUUGAGCACAAGUCGAGCGCCGAGUGCCGCAUCUCAUACGUCGGGAUUCGAGAGUGCGUCGGCACUGAAUGGACCCACCUCGCACCCAAAGCCCAAACACAACGAUGACGUCAAAAAACAGAAACUAUUAGUUUACACGACGCUGAUCCGAGCGCAGAACGGUCUCGGCUUCAGUAUUGCUGGUGGUAAAGGCUGUGUGGUGGAGAACGAUUCGGAUAUUAUUUAUAUAUCGAAAAUAACGCCAGGUGGAGUGGCCGAGAAGGACGGGAAGCUGCAGGUGGGCGAUCGGGUCAAGUCGAUAAACGGGGUGGACAUGACGGGAGCCACGCAUGCGCAGGCGGUUGGUCUGCUCACCAACAUGGAGAGGUUUGUGCGGCUGGUGGCUGAGCGGGAGGUGCCAGUCUCUGAGCUGCAGCAACAGCAGCAGAGGUCGCCGCGACUGUUUGGGCCGCCGAAGCCCUACUCGACGGCGCAGGGAGGCCUCUACUCACCCGACAGCUACAUGGCCAACCGGCCUGGCUACACGGCUUCCCCCGCCGUCGCUGCCCCAGCCGCCGCACCGCCCAAGCCCGCUCCACGAAAGCUCACACAUUCCACCUCGUCAACCACCUCUGAACCCGAAUCUCCGCAGGAUGUGACCCUGGUGAAAGCUGGUGGUUCUCUGGGUUUCAGUAUUAUUGGAGGGACUGAUCAUUCAUGCAUUCCAUUUGGUGGUGCCAAUCCAGGAAUAUUUGUUUCACAUGUUGUUCCUGGAGGCAUAGCUGCGAAUUCUGGUAAACUGAGAAUGGGAGACAGAAUAUUGAAAGUUAACGGCCAAGAUAUUUCCAAGUGCAGUCAUCAGGAUGCCGUUAUGGCACUACUCACCUCUGGCGAUGAAAUUGUUCUCAAUGUUCAACACGAUCCACUUCCUGAAGGCUAUCAGAAAUUGACCAUCGUAAGAGGAGAGGGAGAAAAGCUGGGAAUGCAUAUCAAGGGAGGCCUGCGUGGACACAGGGGCAAUCCUCUCGAUAAGACUGACGAAGGAGUUUUCAUUUCGAAAAUAAAUUCAGGCGGUGCAGCAAAGAGAGACGGACGAUUGAAGGUCGGAAUGAGACUAUUAGAAGUGAACGGCACAUCUCUUCUAGGAGCUUCGCACCAAGAAGCUGUCAACUGUCUGAGAACGUCCGGCCGAGAAAUCCAAUUAGUUGUUUGUAAAGGUUAUGACAAAGCCGAAAUAGAGAAACUCUUAGCUGAAGGCAAGUUGACUAAAGAGAAUAAGUCCGCCUCUCACAGUGUAUCUAGUCUUGACAAGGAUUACGACUCUGAUACCUUGAAGCAGGAACAGGAAAUGAAACAGGAGCUUGUUGCCUGGGAAAAGGAAGAAGAAGAUGUACGGAAAGAAAAAGACUGCAAAGAGUUGGACGAGAUUAGAUCGAAAUCAACUCCUGAAAAGGUGCUGGAUGUAGUGCGGGCAGCUGAGCUGCUGGCGCUUGGCGGGGCGGACACCUUAACCAAGCCCAAAUCGCCCGGGGGACCAAAAUCGGGUGACAGCCUCAAAACGACCACCAUUGUCAUGAGCAAGCACACGCUCGCACCUCAGUCCAGUCAACAGCCACAACAACAGCAGCAGCAGCAGCAGCAAAUCACUGAAAGUAAUGGUGGUGCUACAGUGAAGCCUAACAGUGUUUAUGAAUUUGCCAGCUUGAGACCACAGUCUGCAACCAUUAUUGAUGAAAGAAUCAGCCUUUCCAAUCCACCCAAACCCAAGCCAUUUCCUCAUAGCCUUUCAUUCUCAGAAGUGGAGGCACCUACACCCAAAUCCAAGUCAAAAAAGAAUUCCAAACGCAGGGUCUCUUUUGUUGAUGAUUACAUAGAACCAAAAUCCGAGUCUUCAACAAAAAAGCCAUCUUACAGUAAUACUCUUCCUAGAAGGAAUGUAAUGAAAUCUCAACAGGUAGAUGAUCAAACAAGAAAACCUUUUCCUACUUCACACUUCACUGCUCAUCCGAUUUCCAAGCCAAAUCCACUCAAAGUCCCAGAUCAAGAUGAUAUAGAAUUUAUCACACCACCAGAUUCCAUUCUGGAAGAUACUCAAAUAAAAACAAUUCCAUCUAUGAAGCAAAGUGACCUCAUUAACUCCUCUUCAAAGUCCCCCAUUCCUGCCAGUACACAACCACCACAGCAUUCAACAACCAAUGAAUAUUUACAUUGCCAUAAGCUUUAUACACCUGUAUCAGAAACCACAGAAAGAGAAAAAAUAUCUUCUGAAUUUGAGUCUCCCAAUUCUAAACAGGAAACCAAUGAUAAAACAAAUAUUAAUGAACAUUCCACUUAUUCGUCUGAAAAACAAUCUAGUCUUGAUGAAAUUGAUGAAAAAAAUUUCACAUUUCAUGCUUCUGAGAAAGAGUGUAAAGUUACUUCAUCAGGAAUAGUAGGAGGUAGUAAAAAAUCUGAAGAGGAACGGUUCUCAAAAUCAUCAAUAUCAUCAAGCAGUAAGAAUUACAAGAACUCUGAUCAAGAUGACUGUUCAUCUCUAUCUAAUUAUGCCAGCAAGGAAAUAGCUGAAAUAAGAAAACUCUUGUGUAGUGGUUUACCUGAUAACAUACAAGUUAAAACAGACAUGUCGGGAUCAAUGCUUUCUGAGAAUAUUAUUGAAACAUCAAAUGAUGAGUUUUUGAAAAAAGUAUCAGAUACUAAAACUUCCGACUCCAAAAGAAAGAAAUAUGAAGUUUCUAGUACUUUGGAAGAGGCUAGUCGGACAGAGAAGUUCAUUGAUAGAAAGUAUGAUUUUACUUUGGAACUUUCAGGUGAAAACCUGAAAAAGUCCCACUUUCCACCUUUCAACUUGGCAGAUUUUUCUUUCUCUUCCAGCUGUACAAUGUUUGAUUCGCAUAAUAGUGAAGAACAUUCCAGUAAAUCAGCUUUUGAAACUGAAUUCUCUUCCAGCUCACCAUCAAGUCUGGUAUCAACUACUGAAAACCCACCUUCUCAACCCCAAGAAUCUCCUGCUAAAGAUCAAAAUUGUAAUUUGGUUGGAAUUGAUCACACUAGAAGAGCAUUGAAAUGUGUGUCUUCAAACCAAAAGCUGAAACUGAUAGGUGUUCUCCUAGUACUAGUCUCUCCGAAAAACAAUGUGAUCAGUCAUUAUCGACUGCUCAGACCACCUUGUCACCAAGGUCUGUUUUGUCUAGUGAAAAACAACCAAGCUAUUCGGGUGAUGAUAGAACGCCAGAAAAUCAUUCUGAACAGACGUUAUUAACUGAUCAAGUCUUAUCGCCAAGGUCUGCUCUGUCUAGUGGAAAGUAUCAAAUUCAUUCAGAUGGUCUCCUUCCAAAAAGCAGUAAAUCGGUCCGGUUUGAUACAUCUUCCCUUGGUAGCUCCCCUCAGUGGCGCAGUCCAGUAGCUGAGAAAAAAUUGGAAGUUUCAAGAACACCCUCGCCAUGUUCAGCUCCUAGCAGCCUACCCGCUUACAUAGAGACUCAGCCAACGGUGUUGAGAACAUCGGUCACUGAGACUGCUGUUCCAUCGCAGGUUGAGUAUGCCUUCAUCAACCCCAACUCUCCUCCUUUGCAUGCCUCUCUUGUCCCUGCGGCCCAGCCUCAAGGUAUGAACUUGCUCAGAGAACAGCAAAUAAUGUAUAUACCUCAAUUCACGCCGUUUUACACAGUCCCCCACCACGUAGCCUAUGUGGCAGCUCCAGCUGUAGGAUUGCUUCAACCCUUAUCAUCUCCACCAGGUGCCAACAUCCUCCCCCCGCCCCCACCCAUCAACUAUGCCACUCAUCCAGCGGCGGUCAGUCCACACUCCACCCUCCCCUCUCCAUGGAUGCAAUACCCUCCUUCCAGUCCCAUCCUCACUCCUUCCAUUAAUGACUCUUCUGGAAGCGUAGAUAGCAGAAUGGGUGCACUAGCGACUCCAACAACACCGACUAACACGACUGGUCCUGUAAAAGCAUCUGUCAGUGAUAAGAAGAAAUUCUUCGAGAAGGCAAUGGAAGAGCAUCAUCAACCCUCUCCAAAACCAGAGCGAGUUUUUUCGUUCCUAAGCCAAGAUGAAGUGGAGAAGAUGAAGCAAGAAGAAGAGCGAAAAAUAGCCUCAUUAUCAAGAUCUGAACUCAAAAACUGGAGUAGAAUAGACGAGAAUGAAGAAGACGGGUUUGGUGCAGAGAAUGAAGAUGAAAA
rnacentral:misc_RNA from 1 species